CCUACGGGAGGCAGCAGUAGGGAAUAUUGCACAAUGGGCGAAAGCCUGAUGCAGCAACGCCGCGUGGGCGAUGAAGGCCUUCGGAUCGUAAAGCUCUUUCCUCAGGGAAGAUAAUGACGGUACUUAACGAAGAAGCACCGGCUAACUACGUGCCAGCAGCCGCGGUAAUACGUAGGGUGCUAGCGUUAUCCGGAAUUACUGGGCGUAAAGGGUGCGUAGGUGGUUUCCUAAGUCAGAGGUGAAAGGCUAGGGCUAAACCGUAGUAAGCCUUUGAAACUGGUGAACUUGAGUGCAGGAGAGGAGAGUGGAAUUCUUAGUGUAGCGGUGAAAUGCGUAGAGAUCAGGAGGAAUACUCGUUGCGAAGGCGGCCUGCUGGAAUGUAACUGACACUGAGGCACGAAAGCGUGGGGAGCAAACAGGAUUAGAUACCCGGGUAGUC
rnacentral:rRNA from 1 species